rnacentral:lncRNA from 1 species
CCGGAGUAGUGAGAGCAAGAUUCUUACUCAUCUGCUUUGCGAAGAGUGUGGUAAGCAUCAUAAGGAUGUGUGUAGAGCCGAUAGUUGUAUUUAUUUUGGAUGCAGUAAGUUAGGUCACAAGGUCAGAGAUUGCCCCCAGUUAGGUUAUCAGAGUCAUUUCCGCUCCUCAACUCAGUUCGGUUGUCCAAAUCAGUAGGGUACCAAUUUUAGUGCUAUCACUAGGCAAGGCCAAAACAACCUCAAUGCACUUCAGUCCCAACAGGAUUAGGAAAGUCCUCCUGAUGCAGUCAC